AGCACAGCCUUCACCAAUCAGCGCCAAGUAUUCAAGUCACGUGAUACUCUCUCCUCGCCGUCUCCUCAGCCAUUCGCCCUGCGCCCGCUGACGUGACGAGUCCCCGGUUGUGUUACGGCGGUGAAGCGGUGUUGCGUCUGUCCCUGGCGGGCAUGUUGUGGUGGACUGCGGUGUGGAGGGAGAGGUGGAUGUGAGUAUGGCCUGGUGGUGGAUAGGGAGGAGUGGAUAGUGGAAGAGAGAUGUGGAGAGUAGGAUGGUGGAAGGGGGAGGUGGAGGUGGCUAUGGCGGACGUGACUGGGUUGAGGUGGUGGUUGUGGUGGUGUUUGGUAUGGUUGGAAUGGUUGUAGAGGGUGUUGGUAGUGGUGGUGAACGUGACUGGCUUAUGUUAAAGGUGGUUGUGGUUGUUGGGGAUUGUGGUGGUUGUGUGACAGUGGUGGGUGCAGCGGACGCAACGGUGUUGUGGUUGUUGGGUGUGGUUGAGGAUUGCCAUGGUGGUGGUGGUGGUGGUGGAGGUGGUAGGUGGCGGUGGUCGUAGUCGGAGCGGGCUAAGUGGUGGUGGUGGUGGUGUAAAAAGGUGUUUAUCGGACGGAGUGGAAGUGGUGGUGGUGGCGGUGAUACGAUUAUCAGGGAUGAGAGAGAGAGAGAGAGAGAGAGAGAGAGAGAGAGAGAGAGAGAGAGAGAGAGAGUGUGUGUGUGUGUGUGUGUGUGUGUGUACUCCUAUAAUCAGCAAAUUGCAGUCACUCGUUCGCUGUUUCACCUCCCUGUUUCAGGCCUUCUCUCCCCUUCCCUUCCUCCUCGCUCCCUUCCUAGCCUGCCCGCCACCCUCUCCCCGCUUUUCCCUGCCUGUCCUCCCCUGCUCCUCGUGUCCCAGAUAAAUUGUUAUCUUUCCAAGGGUUGAGGAGAACAUGGUCGUGGUUCAAGUGAAGCCACUACAGCCACUCCCUGACAAGCCUUCCACACCGGGUGAGUGUUGUUCAAGCAUGUAUUAGUAUUGCUAAUUCCUUAUUUCCUAGAACAUCUACCACUAUAUAAUGGAAAUGUCUUUCCAACACAAAUAACGUCAAGGAAAAAUAAACUCUACACUAACUAAGUGAUGAAAAACGUAGCAUCAUCCGCUACACAAAACAAUACAGCAGCGAAGUGACACUACCAGGACUUGAACCAACACCUGCCUGCCUCACAGACACCUGCCGUGGUGCCAGGGAGUGCCGAGGCCUGUGCUGCCACCACGCUGAGAGAAGGAGAAAGAGAAGAGCAUCAGAUGAGGAAUGACCGUGGCAGGAAGGAUGGUGUGUUAGGUGACUGGUUCAGACAGUGACAGUGGACCAAAGAAAUGCUGGAGAAAGAUUAGACCACAGGUGGUUCAUGUUGUAGUUGUUCAAGAUUUGGAAGAAAACAUUUUUUUUUUUCUAGACAGUGGCAGCAGACACACAAGAGAGGAUGGUGUGGUGGACAAGAGGAUGCAGGGAGACAGCAGACAGAAUGGAAGCUACAGAUGAAAGAAGAGCAGGUCAAGCUAUGGCAGCAGACAGAUAGACAGACAGAUUGGAUAAGAAAGAAGUAUUAUUUAGUGAGACAGGACCACUGGAAGCUGUCAGAGUGCUGUGGCACGUGGCAAGAACCAAGUGUUCAGGAGCACACACUGUCCCUUCACCAGUCAGCAGAUCUGGGCGGCUUGGAAGCCUCACUACAAACUGAAGACCCGUUCACUUGAAGGACACAGUUGGAGUCGGACACAAGAUCCAAGAGGGAGUUAUUUUUAAACGAGAGCUUCAGGCAGAAAAAUUCGAGUGGAUUUUCAACUCUAAAAAUAACUUUUUUGGGGGGGAUAUUUUGAAGCUUCAUUAUCUUGAAAAAUAACUCCAGAUAUUAUGACUCUAGCUGGAAGUUGACCUGAGCAAUGUAGGGUUUGCUGCAGUGAGAUUACCAAGGCACGAGUGUCUGGGAUUUUAAAGAUGAUGGAUAUGUGUCCUGUGUGCUGCUGUGCUGGGAGGAGAGGAGCAGCAGCAGUCGUGAAGCUCUGCUGCUGCUGUCACUGGUGCAGCUGUUCACUCCUGCAGCUACCUUCCCUCAACAUACUGUGUCUUCCCUCACCUGCAAUGAACAACUAUGAACAAUACUUCUCCUGCGAUGAGGAACAGUGAAUAACACCUCUCUCUCUCUCUCUCUCUCCUCUCUCUCUCUCUCUCUCUCUCUCUCU